rnacentral:rRNA from 1 species
CCUACGGGUGGCAGCAGUGGGGAAUAUUGCACAAUGGGGGAGACCCUGAUGCAGCGACGCCGCGUGAGUGAAGAAGGAUUUCGGUAUGUUAAGCUCUAUCAGCAGGGAAGAAAAUGACGGUACCUGAUUAAGAAGCCCCGUCUAACUACGUGCCAGCAGCCGCGGGAAUACGUAGGGGGCAAGCGUUAUCCGGAUUUACUGGGUGUAAAGGGAGCGUAGACGGAAGCACAAGUCUGGAGUGAAAUGCCGGGGAUUAACCGCGGAACUGCUGUGGAAACUGUGCAGCUAGAGUGCAGGAGAGGUAAGUGGAAUGCUUGGUGUAGCGGUGAAAUGCGUAGAUAUUAGGAGGAACACCAGGGGCGAAGGCAGUUUACUGGACUGUAACUGACGUUGAGGCUCGAAAGCGUGGGGAUCAAACAGGAUUAGAUACCCUAGUAGUC